CGGUAACCUACCCUCGGGAGGGGGAUAACCCCGGGAAACUGGGGCUAAUUCCCCAUAGGCCUGAGGUACUGGAAGGUCCUCAGGCCGAAAGGGACUUAUGUCCGCCCGAGGAUGGGCCGGCGGCCGAUUAGGUAGUUGGUGGGGUAAUGGCCCACCAAGCCGAAGAUCGGUACGGGCUGUGAGAGCAGGAGCCCGGAGAUGGACACUGAGACACGGGUCCAGGCCCUACGGGGCGCAGCAGGCGCGAAACCUCCGCAAUGCGGGAAACCGCGACGGGGGGACCCCGAGUGCCGUGGCAACGCCACGGCUUUUCCGGAGUGUAAAAAGCUCCGGGAAUAAGGGCUGGGCAAGGCCGGUGGCAGCCGCCGCGGUAAUACCGGCGGCCCGAGUGGUGGCCGCUAUUAUUGGGCCUAAAGCGUCCGUAGCCGGGCCCGUAAGUCCCUGGCGAAAUCCCACGGCUCAACCGUGGGGCUUGCUGGGGAUACUGCGGGUCUUGGGACCGGGAGAGGCGGGGGGUACCCCUGGGGUAGGGGUGAAAUCCUAUAAUCCCAGGGGGACCGCCAGUGGCGAAGGCGCCCCGCUGGAACGGGUCCGACGGUGAGGGACGAAGGCCAGGGGAGCAAACCGGAUUAGAUACCCGGGUAGUCCUGGCUGUAAAGGAUGCGGGCUAGGUGUCGGGUGAGCCUCGAGCUCGCCCGGUGCCGUAGGGAAGCCGUUAAGCCCGCCGCCUGGGGGAGUACGGCCGCAAGGCUGAAACU
rnacentral:rRNA from 1 species